CCAUAGCCUGAGCCUGAUCCACUACCGCUUGCUGACCCUCCACCACCUCCACCACCACCACCACCACCGCCUCCUCCUCCACCACCUCCUCCUCUACCUCCACCACCACUUCCGUAUCCAGAGCCACUCCCUGAUCCAUAACCUGACCCGGAACCCUGGCCAUUCUCUGCAACACCAGAACCACCACCACCUCCUCCUCCUUGACCACCGCCACCUCCUCCCCCUUGACCAUCGAUCUUCUUAGACGAUCUAGCAGCAAACCCAAGGUCCACAAUAAAUAACACCAAGAAUGCAAUGGCUAUGAUCUUUGACUUUGAGUUUGCCAUCUUCAAACUCUGUAGGACUAGAGUACCUCAGUUGUGUUGUGUAUAUGUUCUCAAGCAAUGCAAUAUGAGUUGUGAGCUCAAUGUAUAUAUGUGUGUUUUAGACUAAUACGAUACAAUGAAAUGAGUUGUGUGGUACAAACAAGAGCAGGAGACUUGGCUAUUUAUAGGCAUUGCAAAACGCAAAAUUCAAAAAGGUUUUCUAACUUUGAGCGAGUCUGGUAUUCUAGUAGCUUCCAAAUGAUGGGAAAUCGAAAUGAAGUGUCUGAUUUGAGAUAAAAAGAUAGUGGUGCUGGUGCUGGUGGAGGUGGGUGGGCGGUGGUGCUCUCUAGCUAUGUUAUCUCUUGUUGUCCAUGCACAGUCAUCAUAAACCUUUCACUAAAGUGUUCUCCCACUUUUGACAAAACAAGCUUCAAAAUUUGUCAAUCUAAUUAAUCUAUUCACACGACU
rnacentral:lncRNA from 1 species